UGGAAUUAUGAUAAAUUUAGAGGUUGUCUGCUGAAUGUUCAGGCACCUAGUCUAGAGCCAAGCAGUUUUUGGUAACUCAACUGAAGACAAACUUCUAGUCUAGAGGCAUUGGGUCAAGAUAAGUAAGACUGAGGUAGGACAAACAUUAUUCUAGAUCAUGUAGACACUACAAGGUUAGGGUGGGGCAACAAACAUACUCCUCCCUGGCCACCCAACCAUGGGAAGGAGGAGCUAAAGUUUAAGAGCAGAAAUGAUUGAAAACCUGUAGUCCUAGGCUCUGGGUUGUAACCAUUAGCCCACCAUAUACAAGAAAACAAUAGAGGAAUUGAGAAAUAAUUCCUGUGAACCAGCAUGGCUAGUGUCUGACAUGGGCUUGUUAUUAAAUAUUGCCAGAUUCAAGAAACACAGAAGCUGGGGCAUCUGAGUUAUAAAAUAGAUUGAAUUCUAUAAAAUCCAGUUUGGGUUUCUUGCACACACCAGAAAUUGCAAGUCUACAUAGUAGAGUAAACACAGUUUCCUCAGAUUCUUAUGUGUCAGCCCCUUCUGAUGCUUUAUGAGUUCUGCAGCACUGCGUCCUCAAGAUAACCUUCAAAAACAAUAGCCAUUGCUUUCUCUGCUAUAGAGAUGAGGAAGGUGGAGUUCACAGAAGAGAAUUAACUGAGCCCCCACUUGGACUCUGGACUCCAGCACCUGCAUUCUCUAUCACAUCAUGAAAAGACUUUUGAUUCUAACAGGACACCUUCCAGAUUGAAAUGGUGCCCUGGGAAGUGUAUGCCCCGGAGCACACCUGCUGUGGGAUGAACCUGUGCCCAUCUGUAAAUGCCUCACUCAGGAUCAGCCAGGAUAGGGUGACCCAGCGGUGAACUGGCUUCACAACCCAUUAAACAGCUGCCCUGAAAUCUACAGCAUCAGUCAACUAAUGGGACUCAGGACCAUCAUCAGUUCUCUGGAAAAUGGCAUCUUCCUGGAGGAGGAAACUGGCACUCCAUCACCUAGAGAGCAGAAGGAGUGAAGGAGAAACAGCAGCACCUGAGUUUGGACGCACCUCUCCUGCCAAGUUUCAGGACAGAAUAUAACACAAGGGACAGUAAAGAAGCAGUGGUGUGACACAAAACACCGAGAGAAGGAAAGCCUACCCCGCCCCUGCACUCUCACUGUGCAGCUAAGCAAGACUCUUGAACUCCGUAAACCUCAGUUGAUGAUAUGAGUAAAGCAGUAGCCACACCAGUGUUCUCUUGCUGUGGAGAGACACCAUGACCACAGCAACUCUUAUAAAGGAAAGCAUUUCACUGGGGCUGGCUCACACUUUCAGAGGUUUAGUCCAUUAUCUUCAUGGCGGGGAACACGCUGGCAUGCAGGCAGACAUAGCUAAGAGUUCUAUAUACAGAUUCAAAGGCAACAGGAAAAGUGAGAGACAGAACCAGCCUUGAGCCUUUGAAACCCCAAAGUCUCCCCCCAGUGACACACUUGCUCCAGCAAGGCCACACCUCUUCCAACAAGGCACACCUCCUAAUCUGAAGUACCAUCACUCCACAAUGACCAAGCAUGAAGGUAUAUGAGCCUAUGGGGCCAUUCCUAUUCCCACCACCACAUAUGUGAGAAGGGUAACACGGCAUAGCUCGUCAUAAGUGCUCAGUAAACAGAGGAGGCUGAGUAUACCUAAUCCUAAUAUUUGAAGUCCAAACAAUGGUGCAAAAAUCAAAUGACUGGAACAUCAUGUCAUGCUGAAAUAUCUUUAGACUCCCAAUUUGGGGCUUAGAGAUGCUCAACAGGAAAAAAAAUUAAUAAAAAAAAUAUGGGGCUGGAGAUAUGGCUAAGUGGUUAGGAGCACUGUCUGCUCCUCCAGAGGUCCUGAGUUCAAUUCCCAGCACCCACAUGGUGGCUCUCAACCAUCUGUAAUGGGAUCUGAUGCCCUCUUCUGGUUUGUCAGCAACAGAAUGCUCAUAAACAUUAAAUAAUAAAAAAAAAAUCUAAAG